UUAGUAGGCUGUGAAAACUGACUUGGACUAUUGCCAAAUAAGAGCAAGAAGAACACAAAAACCAAUAAACAAAAGUAGCCUCUUCAGAUAAUAAUCUUGCUGUCCUUGCCCCUGGUGCUGAGGAUAUCCAUAUGCAUGGCCGCCAUGAAAAGAAUUAGAGAACCCAUAUGGAAAGCCAGCAGCCGCACCAUACAUGGCAGCAUCAGGAAAUCCAUACAACUGAAGGUUAAAAAGUGAAGGGAUGAGACC
rnacentral:misc_RNA from 1 species